rnacentral:rRNA from 1 species
GUCCUUUUGAUUUUUAUAUAAGGUCUAGCCUGCCCAAUGAAUUAUUUUAAAUGGCCGCGGUACACUGACCGUGCAAAGGUAGCAUAAUCAUUAGUUUUUUAAUUGAAAGCUGGAAUGAAAGGUUGGAUAAGAAAAAUACUGUCUCUUGGAAAUUUUAUUAGAAUUUUAUUUUUAAGUCAAAAAGCUUAAAUGUAAUUUAAAGACGAGAAGACCCUUUAGAGUUUUAUAUAAUAUUGAUUAAUUUAUACUUUAGAAUUUAUAUUGUGAAUUAAUUGGUUUAUAUUUGGUUGGGGUGAUUGAAAAAUUUAAUAAACUUUUUUUAUUAUAUUACAUUAAUUUAUGAAUAUUUGAUCCAAAAUUUUUGAUUACAAGAAUAAAUUACCUAAGGGAUAACAGCGUUAUUUUUUUUGAGAGUUCAAAUCGAAAAAAAAGAUUGCGACCUCGAUGUUGGAUUAAAAUUAAAUUAUGGUGCAGAAGCUAUAACUUUAGGUCUGUUCGACCUUUAAAAUUUUACA